UGGGUCGGCUGGACGGUCGCGUCACGGGUUCACCCGUGCCGAGGAACGUCCGGGCUCCACAGGGCAGGACGGUGGGUAACGCCCACCCGGAGCAAUCCGCGAGACAGUGCCACAGAGAGCAGACCGCCCGCGCUCCACGGCGCGGGUAAGGGUGAAAGGGUGGUGUAAGAGACCACCGGGGUCGUGGUGACACGACCCGCGAGGUAAACCUCGUCCGGAGCAAGGCCAGACAGGGGAUGACGACGCGGCUCGCCGAGUCCCCGGGUAGGCCGCUGGAGCGGCACGGCAACGUGUCGCCGAGAGAGAUGACCGUCCACGGGGCUCACGCCCCCGGACAGAACCCGGCGUACAGGCCGGCCCAUUCG
rnacentral:RNase_P_RNA from 3 species